GGAAUAUUGGACAAUGGGCGAAAGCCUGAUCCAGCCAUGCCGCGUGAGUGAUGAAGGCCCUAGGGUUGUAAAGCUCUUUCAACGGUGAAGAUAAUGACGGUAACCGUAGAAGAAGCCCCGGAUAACUUCGUGCCAGCAGCCGCGGUAAUACGAAGGGGGCUAGCGUUGUUCGGAAUUACUGGGCGUAAAGCGCACGUAGGCGGAUUGUUAAGUUAGGGGUGAAAUCCCAGGGCUCAACCCUGGAACUGCCUUUAAUACUGGCGAUCUAGAGUCCGAGAGAGGUGAGUGGAAUUCCGAGUGUAGAGGUGAAAUGCGUAGAUAUUCGGAAGAACACCAGUGGCGAAGGCGACUAACUGGACAUGUAUUGACGCUGAGGUGCGAAAGCGUGGGGAGCAAAC
rnacentral:rRNA from 1 species